AGAGUUUGAUCCUGGCUCAGAAUGAACGCUGCGGCGUGCUUAACACAUGCAAGUCGCACGAGAAUUCUCUGCUUGCAGAAGAUAGUAAAGUGGCGCACGGGUGAGUAAUGCGUGGGCAAUCUUCCCUUGAAUCGGGGAUAACAUCGCGAAAGCUUUGCUAAUACCGGAUGACAUCCAUUUGUCUGCGGGCGAAUGGAUCAAAGGUGGCCUCUACAUGUAAGCUACUGUUUGAGGAUGAGCCUGCGUACCAUUAGCUAGUUGGUGGGGUAACGGCCCACCAAGGCGACGAUGGUUAGCUGGUCUGAGAGGAUGAUCAGCCACACUGGAACUGACACACGGUCCAGACUCCUACGGGAGGCAGCAGUGAGGAAUUUUGCGCAAUGGGGGAAACCCUGACGCAGCAACGCCGCGUGAGUGAUGAAGGCCUUCGGGUCGUAAAGCUCUGUCAAGUGGGAAGAACCUGCAGAAAGCUAACAUCUUUUUGCACUGACGGUACCACUGAAGGAAGCACCGGCUAACUCCGUGCCAGCAGCCGCGGUAAUACGGAGGGUGCAAGCGUUAUUCGGAAUUAUUGGGCGUAAAGGGCGCGUAGGCGGCCGUUUAAGUCAGGUGUGAAAGCCCGGGGCUUAACCCCGGAAGUGCAUUUGAUACUGAGCGGCUUGAGUAUGGGAGAGGGAAGUGGAAUUCCUGGUGUAGAGGUGAAAUUCGUAGAUAUCAGGAGGAACACCGGUGGCGAAGGCGACUUCCUGGACCAAUACUGACGCUGAGGCGCGAAGGCGUGGGGAUCAAACAGGAUUAGAUACCCUGGUAGUCCACGCAGUAAACGGUGAUCACUAGGUGUAGCGGGUAUUGACCCCUGCUGUGCCGCAGCUAACGCAUUAAGUGAUCCGCCUGGGGAGUACGAUCGCAAGGUUAAAACUCAAAGGAAUUGACGG
rnacentral:rRNA from 1 species